GGGGACCCAAACCUUCUGAAUUUUUUAAUAAGUAUCUUCUGAGUGUUAAAAAAAUGAAUCAAAACUUUCAACAACGGAUCUCUUGGUUCUGGCAUCGAUGAAGAACGCAGCGAAAUGCGAUAAGUAAUGUGAAUUGCAGAAUUCAGUGAAUCAUCGAAUCUUUGAACGCACAUUGCGCCCGUCAGUAUUCUGGCGGGCAUGCCUGUUCGAGCGUCAUUACGCCCCUCAAGUCCCCUGUGGACUUGGUGUUGGGGAUCGGCGAGGCUGGUUUUCCAGCACAGCCGUCCCUUAAAUUAAUUGGCGGUCUCGCCGUGGCCCUCCUCUGCGCAGUAGUAAAACACUCGCAACAGGAGCCCGGCGCGGUCCACUGCCGUAAAACCCCCCAACUUUUUAUAGUUGACCUCGAAUCAGGUAGGACUACCCGCUGAACUUAAGCAUAUCAAUAAGCGGAGG
rnacentral:rRNA from 1 species